rnacentral:rRNA from 1 species
UACGUAGGGUGCGAGCGUUGUCCGGAAUUACUGGGCGUAAAGAGCUCGUAGGUGGUUUGUCGCGUUGUUCGUGAAAACUCACAACUCAAUUGUGGGCGUGCGGGCGAUACGGGCAGACUGGAGUACUGCAGGGGAGACUGGAAUUCCUGGUGUAGCGGUGGAAUGCGCAGAUAUCAGGAGGAACACCGGUGGCGAAGGCGGGUCUCUGGGCAGUAACUGACGUGGAGGAGCGAAAGCGUGGGGAGCGAACAGG